rnacentral:rRNA from 1 species
UACGAAGGAUGCAAGCGUUAUCCGGAUUCACUGGGUUUAAAGGGUGUGCAGGUGGGGUAAUAAGUCAGUGGUGAAAGCCCCCGACUCAAUCGGGGAACUGCCAUAGAUACUGUUAUUCUUGAGUGUGGUUGAGGCGGAUGGAAUAUGACAUGUAGCGGUGAAAUGCUUAGAUAUGGUCAUAGAACACCAAUCGCGAAGGCAGUCCGCCAAACCAUUACUGACACUGAAACACGAAAGUGCGGGGAUCAAAC